rnacentral:rRNA from 1 species
AACGAACGCUGGCGGCAGGCCUAACACAUGCAAGUCGAACGCUCCGCAAGGGGAGUGGCGCACGGGUGAGUAACACGUGGGAACCUACCUUCUGGUACGGAACAACCAAGGGAAACUUUGGCUAAGACCGUAUACGACCUCCGGGUGAAAGAUUGAUCGCCGGAAGAGGGGCCCGCGUCCGAUUAGGUAGUUGGUGAGGUAACGGCCCACCAAGCCUUCGAUCGGUAGCUGGUCUGAGUAGGAUGACCAGCCACACUGGGACUGAGACACGGCCCAGACUCCUACGGGAGGCAGCAGUGGGGAAUAUUGGACAAUGGGCGCAAGCCUGAUCCAGCCAUGCCGCGUGAGUGAUGAAGGCC